GACGAACGCUGGCGGCGUGCUUAACACAUGCAAGUCGAACGGAAAGGCCCCCUUGUGGGGUACUCGAGUGGCGAACGGGUGAGUAACACGUGAGUAACCUACCCUUGACUUUGGGAUAACUUCAGGAAACUGGGGCUAAUACCGGAUAGGAGCUCCUGCUGCAUGGUGGGGGUUGGAAAGUUUCGGCGGUUGGGGAUGGACUCGCGGCUUAUCAGCUUGUUGGUGGGGUAGUGGCUCGCCAAGGCUUUGACGGGUAGCCGGCCUGAGAGGGUGACCGGCCACAUUGGGACUGAGAUACGGCCCAGACUCCUACGGGAGGCAGCAGUGGGGAAUAUUGCACAAUGGGCGGAAGCCUGAUGCAGCAACGCCGCGUGCGGGAUGACGGCCUUCGGGUUGUAAACCGCUUUCGCCUGUGACGAAGCGUGAGUGACGGUAAUGGGUAAAGAAGCACCGGCUAACUACGUG
rnacentral:rRNA from 1 species